UACGAGGGGGGCGAGCGUUGUUCGGAAUUAUUGGGCGUAAAGGGUGCGUAGGCGGCCUGACAAGUCUGAUGUGAAAUCCCUGGGCUCAACCCAGGGCCUGCAUCGGAAACUGUCGGGCUUGAGUAUGGGAGAGGUGAGUGGAAUUUCCGGUGUAGCGGUGAAAUGCGUAGAUAUCGGGAGGAACACCAAUGGCGAAGGCAGCUCGCUGGGACGUUACUGACGCUGAGGAGCGAAAGCGUGGGGAGCAAACAGG
rnacentral:rRNA from 1 species